UAGUCCACGCCGUAAACGAUGAGAGCUAGUUGUCGACAUGCAUGCAUGUCGGUGACACAGCUAACGCAUUAAGCUCUCCGCCUGGGGAGUACGGCCGCAAGGUUAAAACUCAAAUGAAUUGACGGGGGCCCGCACAAGCGGUGGAGCAUGUGGUUUAAUUCGAUGCAACGCGAAGAACCUUACCAGGUCUUGACAUCCCGAGAAGUCGCUAGAGAUAGCUUCGUGCCUUCGGGAACUCGGUGACAGGUGCUGCAUGGCUGUCGUCAGCUCGUGUCGUGAGAUGUUGGGUUAAGUCCCGUAACGAGCGCAACCCCUGUCCUUAGUUGCCAUCAGGUAAUGCUGGGAACUCUAAGGAGACUGCCGGGUGACAAACCGGGAGGAAGGUGGGGGACGACGGUCAAGUCAUCAUGGGCCCUUACGACCUGGGGCUACACACGUGCUAC
rnacentral:rRNA from 1 species